rnacentral:lncRNA from 9 species
CCCCCAGACACGAUGCACCCUCUGGGGCCGUGGAAGGUGCCCUACGGGGAGUGCAGAGACACCGGAAGAGCGAGGGCAGAGCCCUCGGUGCCCACGCCCUUGGCCGCGGGGUGAGUGCGGGCGGCCGCCUCGGGCCGAGGGAGAGCGGAGAAGGGUGGGAGCGCGCGGUCGAGGCGGAACCCCUCCCGCCCGCCUUCGACCGGGACUGGGGCUCUGCAGCCGGAGGCGCGGGGCCCGCAGCCCCCCGCAGGGCCGGGGCGAGGAUGGGCGGGCGGGGGGCGGAGCGCUGCGCGGCGUUGCGCGGGGCGGCGGGAAAGGGGCGGGGAGGACAGCUCGGGCUCUGGCGGGCAGAGAGACGGUGGCAGAACCUGCGGGCUAGGUGGGAGGCUCACCCUCAGGGAAGAAGGAAGCGAGGACCGCCGCCGCCGGGGAGCGAGGAGACGGCGCUUCGAGGCCAGGGGUCGGGCGGCCGCCACCUCCUCCAGCAGCGGAGAAGGCGCAGCCGGCGGGCGCACCGGCCGCCGCAGCGACCCUGCGCGCAGGGAGGGAGGAGGAGGCGGCGGAGGAGGAGGAGAGCGGCUCAAGGAGACUUGAUUUUCGUGGAUUUGCUGCAAUUCCUUAAAUCAAACCAGGCUUUCGGGGCGUUAAAGUAAAUCGCCGGUAAGUGGGGACGCGUCCCUGGGGCGGGCGGCUAAAAAGACCCCUGGGUUUGCAGGGUAGCGGGCUCGGCGGGCCUGCUUGCUGGGUGGCUUCUGGCCCCAUCUCGCCUGGGGGUGGGGGUGGGGGGUAGGAGGUGGCGCUUGUGUCUUGGGCUUAAGGUACUGGAACUGGGCACUUGUCCUGGAUAGACUGUGGGACGAGGGGCAGGCAAGACGCUGUGCGGUGCUGUCUGUCAGUCUCAGUUCACUCUGGAAUCUCAGUGUCUGUCUGUCUUUCUCUCUCUCUCUCUUCUCUCCCCCCCCUCCUCUCUCCUCUCCCUCCUCUCUCUCUCUCCCCCCUCCUUCUCUCUCUCUCUCUCUCUCUCUCUCACACACACACACACACACACACACUCACACACACACACCCAACACACCCUGUCCGUAGCCGGCUUGUCUCUCUGUCUCUCACACACAUCCACACCCCACACACACACACACACACAUGCACACACGCACACAUGCACACACUGGUGUGGUCUCAUUCCAGAUUAACAACCGGAUCUCAGUGUGAGAUCUGUCUUUCUCUCACAUACCACACACACACACACACACACACACACACACACAUCCCCUCUCAUCUCAUGGCUGCUUUGACUCCCAGGUAGAUAGUUGCUUUUGGAUUUUUAUUCGUUGCUUGUUCUGCUCAUGGAUUUUUCUUCAUCGUUUUUUUUUUUUUUUUUCAAGAAAAAAGACCCACCUGUAUUAAAACCUGUGGGUUGUCAGAUCUUUUCAGCACUCAUCCAUAUUCAAAUCAAGAAUAGGGCUUUAUGGUGAAAAUACCCCCACCUAAUGCUCUUUCCAUCGGACCAAGCUCUAGUGUGAGAAUUAACAUUAUUAUCAUUUUAAAUAAACAUUUUACAACCAUGUGACGAAGUAUUCUUUGCCUGGAUCGCUCCCUCUCUUCUCUUCGUGAGAACGCACAGAAUUCUUAAUACCCGAUUCCCAAAGCGGUCAGGUCGUCUUCUCAUUUUAAAAGACGGGUCUUGAAAGGGUUGUAGUUUGGUCAUGAGGCUGGGUUCUGUGUGUCCAUCUCUUUCUUUAAGGAACUGCUCAGAGUGGUGUUGAUCUGAGACUUAGGUAUGGUUCGAGUUCUAAACAAUGUAUCAGACUCUUAGGGGAAAGGAACGCCUCACACAUUUUUUGCACAGAGGAGAAAGAACACUUUUCAUGUCUCAGAGCAAAUAUUUUGCCACUUUUCCUCCAUUCGUCCCUGUUAGAUGCCUUAGAAAAGAUGCGUGGUUGAUGAAUAAUGCAUGGCUUAUUUCUCUUUUGCGUCUACAGGUGGCGGUGUGGAAGCCCAGCCAGGAGCUUCCAGGGGUGCUUUCCGAAAAAGAAGAGUGAAUCCGCUGGACUAAGCCAGCACGGGAUCUGAAAAACACCCAGAGGUAUGUAGAACAAUUCGUCCCCCUAUCUGGCUUUAUAAUGAUUGCAUUCCCCUCUCUUAACAUUUAUAUAGCCUUUUCUGAAGUGAAAUGCAUUUCGAGAGAUUCUCAAAGGAGAAAACCAGUGGAUUCUAUUUCAGACAAUGUAUUUAAAUAAAAAGGCUGCGUGUCUUUCUACUGCAUGAGUUUUUAUUGCUCUAAACAAGAGAGGCACCGUGUUUCCAUGGUGACGGCGGGGCUUUGCCUCGAACAGGUUGUUGCUUGAUACUUGCUUUUAAAAACACUUUUCCUGAGUCUGCGUAAAAAUGGUUCUGAAGAAUUUAACUGGGGUCACUGUUAGCAAAGUCACCCUGUUGAGCCAACCUAAUAAGAGCUGUGUUUCACCACCACUGUGUCUCGUUGGUGACCUGAUGUCUCAUUUAUCAGAAUACUGAUGCAUUUGGCAGCUUCUUUUAAACCAUUGCUUCUGUUUGUAACCAUCUUGUCAUUUUUCUCCUCCUACUUUGCCGCUUUUCCAAGCCCAACGUCCAAGAGGUACCUUUAUAAUUCACCUACCUGACUCAACUAACGAUGGGUUUAAUAAGAAAAAAAAAGACGAUCGGGUUCUCAAGUUCACAAAGUUUUUCACUGUGACACAAUUCAAAAGAACUUGCCUUUGGUCAUCAUUAAAAUAGAAAGUUUGGGCGUUCCCGUCAUGGCGCAGUGGUUAACGAAUCUGGCUAGGAACCAUGAGGUUGCGGGUUCGAUCCCUGGCCUCGCUGGGUGAAGGAUCCGGCGUUGCCGUGAGCUGUGGUGUAGGUCGCAGACGCGGCUCGGAUCCUGCGUUGCUGUGGCGGUGGUGUAGGCCGGCGGCUACAGCUUUGAUUCAACCCCUGGCCUGGGAACCUCCGUGUGCCGUGGGUGCGGCCCUAGAAGAGGCAAAAAAAAAAAAAAAAAAAAAAAAGUUUGGCAUAUUAAGACCCCUUUUCAACAAUUGGGUGUAUUUUAAGUAGUAGAAGAGGCAGGGGUGAAGGUGGGGGGAAUUCACCUUCAAGGAUUUUUUUUUUUUCCCCUUAGGUUUGUGGGCUGUAGCUAAUGGUGCUUUUACAGGGAAGCUGAAGUUAUUAUUAUGUUGGCUGUUAAAGACGACAAGGACGACAAGGCUUUCUCUUUGCUCAGGGGGUGUGUGCGUUCACACAUUGUCAGAAUGUGCUUUUUGACAUUCUGCCUUUACAGCUGAGGAGGGGCUUGCUUGACUCCUGCCAAUGAGGGUGUGAAACAAAGUCAGAUGCUGUGCUUGAAACGUUUGAAAGGUCAGAUUGGACCCUUCCCAGUAGAAGGCAAAUUGGGAGCUCUGACUCAGAAAGUAUAAACUAAACGAAAGACCAAAGGGUGGUUUCCUGGUAAGAUCCCCCGAGUGUGGAUUGGCUUUGGGAAGCCUUCAUUAUCUGACUCAGUAAACUGGGAAGUAACUAAUAAUCGCCCAACGUGGCUAAGAGGAAUAUCUAAGGCAGAAAAGAGCAAAGUCGAGGAGUUCCCGUUGUGGCGCAGUGGAAAACAGUCCGACUGGUAUCCAUGAGGAUGUGGGUUUGAUCCCACAGGUGCGGCCCUUUAAAAAAAAAAAAAUCCCAUCCACUAGUUUUGUCUGAUGUUAAGCUCCAUGUAAAUAGAAUCAUAUAGAAUAGACUUGCGUGGGUCUGUCUUCUUUCAUAUGACAUAAUAUCUUUGUGAUAUAUCUGUGUUAUUGUGUAUAUUGGUAGUUCUAGUCUGUUGUUGAGUAGGAAUUCCCUUGUGUGGAUAUACAACAAUUUCUUUCUUUCUUUCUUUCUUUCUUUUUUUUUUUUUUUUUUUUUUUUUUUUUUUUUUUUUUUUUUGUCUUUCUGUCUUUUUCCAGGGCUGCGCCAGCAGCAUAUGGAGGUUCCCAGGCUAGGGGCUAAAUCAGAGCUGCAGCUGCCAGCCUACGCCAGAGCCAAAGCAAUGCGGGAUCCGAGCCACAUCUGCGACCUACACCACAGCUCAUGGCAACGCCGGAUCCUUAACCCACUGAGCCACUGAGCGAGGCCAGGGAUCGAACCCGCAACCUCAUGGUUCCUAGGCAGAUUCGUUAACCACCGAGCCAUGACAGGAACUCUGACCACAAUUUCUUUAUCCAUUCUCCCAUUGGAUCUUUGGAUUGUUUCCAGUGUGUGGCUAAUAUGGAUAAAGCAGCUAUGAAUAUUCUUGUUGAUGAUUUUUGGUGCACAUGCUCACUCAUUUUUGAGCGUAUACCUAGGAGCAGAAUUGCCAGGUCACAGGGUAGGCUUUUAUUUAGCUUGAGCGGAUCUUGCCAAACGGGUUUUUCCAAGGUGGUUGUACCCGUUUAAACUCCACCACGGGUGUACAAGAGUUCCAGUGGCUCCACGUUUUCACUGACACUUGGUCUAAUCUUGUUUUUUUUUAAUUUUAGCUCUUUUUGUUGAGGGUGUAGGGGCCUCUCCUUGGGGGUUUUAAAGUUUUUAAAAAAUAUAAAAUUGUAGCAAAAUAUACAUAAACAUUAGUGGUAUUAAGGGUAUUUAUGUUGCUGUGUAACCAUUACCACCAUCCGUCUCCAGAACACUUUGCGUCUCACAAAACUGAAACUGUACCCAUUAAACCUUAACUUCUUCCCCAUUCUCUGUUCUCCAUCCCAGACAACCACCAUUCUAUUUUCUGUCUCCACAAAUUUAACUGUUUGAAAUAUCUCGUGUGGGUAGAAUCAUGGAAUAUUUGUUCUUUUGUAACCAGCUUAUUUCACUUAGCACAAUAUCCUUAAGGUUCAUCCAUGUUGUAGCCUGUGUCAGAAUUUCCCCUCUUUUUUACGGCUAAAUAAUAUUCCACUGUAUGCAUACACACCACAUUUUAUUGAUCCCGUUGUCUUUCGGCGGACACUUGGGUUUCUGCUGCCUUUUGGCUAUUGUGAAUAAUGCUGCUAAGAACACAAGUGUACAAAUAUUUCUUUGAGACCCUGCUUUUUUUGGGGGGGGGAAUAUAUACCCAGAAGUGGAAUUGCUGGAUCAUAUGGUAAUUCCAUUUUAAUUUUUCGAGAAACCACCAUGCUGUUUUCCACAGCUGCUAUGCCGUUUGACCUUCCCAAUAGUGUGCAAGGGUUUCAGUUUUUCUCCAUUCUUGCCAGCACUUGUUAUUUUCUCAGUUUCUUUCCUUUUU